rnacentral:rRNA from 1 species
GACGAACGCUGGCGGCGCGCUUAACACAUGCAAGUCGAACGGAAAGGCCUGCUUUCCCUUGUGGAUUGCGGGUACUCGAGUGGCGAACGGGUGAGUAACACGUGAGUGAUCUGCCCCCAACUUGGGUAUAAGCCUGGGAAACUGGGUCUAAUUCCCGAUAGGACUGCAGGGUGGUGGCUGUGGUGGAAAACGAUUUUCUAGUGGUUGGGGAUGAGCUCGCGGCCUAUCAGCUUGUUGGUGGGGUAAUGGCCUACCAAGGCGGCGACGGGUAGCCGGCCUGAGAGGGUGGACGGCCACAUUGGGACUGAGAUACGGCCCAGAAUCCUACGGGAGGCAGCAGUGGGGAAUAUUGCACAAUGGGCGGAAGCCUGAUGCAGCGACGCCGCGUGGGGGAUGACGGCCUUCGGGUUGUAAACUCCUUUCGACCGCGAGGAAGCCACCUGGUUGGAAGGGUGGUGACGGUAGUGGUAGAAGAAGCACCGGCUAACUACGUG